ensembl:lncRNA novel transcript
GUAUGUUGCAUUGUACAAGAUGAAGUUAGAGUGUGAAGCAUGGAACAAAGUGCUUAUUGAGCCAGAAAAUACUGCCCAACCAGCUCUCAAGGCAAAGAGAGGGUGUACGAGAAGCUAAUCUUCAAAUGAGAGGUGGAGACCCAGCUGGCAGCUAGCAUGGUGCGGCGUGUUGGAGGCAAGAAGCAGAAUCUCAGACUGGCAAGAUGCAAGGGCAGGCAGCCCACCCACAGGGAAGGCGUCGCCAAUCUUGAGCAACUCUAGAAGAGAAACCUGAACACAUCAGAACUCAAACUAACUGAUAAUGAACUGGUUUUCAUUACUUCCUGAGUGAUCAGGAGGUAGAAUUGUCUCUUACAACCCAAUGUAUACCAUUCUCAGUUGUCUAUUUAAGGAUUUCUUAGUGAGCUCCAUGGUAAAAUAUAUCUACUUCUU